rnacentral:rRNA from 1 species
UACGUAGGGGGCAAGCGUUGUCCGGAUUUAUUGGGCGUAAAGAGCGUGUAGGCGGCCAGACAGGUCCGUUGUGAAAACUCGAGGCUCAACCUCGAGAUGUCGAUGGAAACCGUCUGGCUAGAGUACGGAAGAGGAGAGUGGAAUUCCUGGUGUAGCGGUGAAAUGCGCAGAUAUCAGGAGGAACACCAACGGCGAAGGCAGCUCUCUGGGACGUUACUGACGCUGAGACGCGAAAGCGUGGGGAGCAAACAGG